UACGUAGGGGGCAAGCGUUGUCCGGAUUUAUUGGGCGUAAAGAGCGUGUAGGCGGUCAGGUAGGUCCGUUGUGAAAACUCGAGGCUCAACCUCGAGACGCCGAUGGAAACCAUUUGACUAGAGUCCGGAAGAGGAGAGUGGAAUUCCUGGUGUAGCGGUGAAAUGCGCAGAUAUCAGGAAGAACACCCGUGGCUAAGGCGGCUCUCUAGUACGGUACUGACGCUGAGACGCGAAAGCGUGGGGAGCGAACAGG
rnacentral:rRNA from 1 species